UGCUGGUUGACCUAGACAGCAGGAUGGUGGCCAAGGGAGUCGGAAUCUGCUAAGGAGUGUGUAACAACUCACCUGCUGAAUCAACUAGCCCUGAAAAUGGAUGAUGCUGGA
rnacentral:ncRNA from 1 species